AAAGUCAUAAAGAAUAGACAGUGAAGUUCUCUAGUUCUUCAGGAAACACAGCUCCAACAUAGCUUACACAACUCAUGAAGCUCUGAAAUUAACCCAUUCCAUAUUGGACCAACAGAAAAGUGACCACCAGUGUUGACCACCAGAAAAAAACGAUGGUACAUUCCCAAGGACAACGCACAUGAAGCAACACAAUGGACACGCCGAAUGUCAGCUCCCCCUGGCCAGACUUG